AGCAGCCGCGGUAAUUCCAGCUCCAAUAGCGUAUAUUAAAGUUGUUGCAGUUAAAAAGCUCGUAGUUGAAUUUCGGGAUCAGUUGGUCGGUCGUGCCUCGGUACGUACUGGUCAAAUUGAUUCCUACCUUCUGACGAACCACGAUGUCAUUAAUUUGGUGUCGCGGGAAAUCAGGACUUUUACUUUGAAAAAUUAGAGUGUUUAAAGCAGGCUCGCGCUUGAAUACAUUAGCAUGGAAUAAUGAAAUAGGACGUUUGGUUCUAUUUCGUUGGUUUCUAGGAUCGACGUAAUGAUUAAUAGGGAUAGUUGGGGGCAUUAGUAUUCAAUUGUCAGAGGUGAAAUUCUUGGAUUUAUUGAAGACUAACUACUGCGAAAGCAUUUGCCAAGGAUGUUUUCAUUAAUCAAGAACGAAAGUUAGGGGAUCGAAGACGAUCAGAUACCGUCGUAGUCUUAACCAUAAACUAUGCCGACUAGGGAUCGGAUGAUGUUAAUUUUUUAAUGACUCAUUCGGCGCCUUACG
rnacentral:misc_RNA from 1 species